rnacentral:piRNA from 1 species
UCAAGACUUGGAUGACUGACGUAG